rnacentral:misc_RNA from 1 species
CAGGCUUGCAAAAGCUCUGAAACCACUGUUUAUCUACCUGAAUCUGCUUCGGCGGGCGGCCCCAGGGCGGGGCUGUUGCCGCAAGGCGCCCGCCGAAGACCCCUAAACUCUGUCGUCUUGAGAAUCUCUGAGUAUUAUUAAACAAAAAA